rnacentral:tRNA from 1 species
GCCUGGGUGGCUCAGUUGGUUAAGCGUCUGACUUAGGCUCAGGUUGUGAUCUCUCAGUUCGUGGGUUUGAGCCCCACGUCGGGCU